GCCCCCAAUAAUUUGCUAAUAAUCAUUCUUUUUUCAAAAUCAUGCAGACCUUUAUAAUUUAAUCUGUGACAAACUGCAAAGAAUGAAGGUAUUACCCACACUUUCCUGCAACUUAUUCAAUAUAUAGUUAAUUAAAUACGCCUUCGCCCAUUUAGUACCACUAAAUUGUAAAUUUUGACAUACUAAAACGCUGUUUUCUGACUAUCAGAAUUCUGUCAAAUCUUCCCCCAAAGUCCAGGAAAUGGCAUUUCAGAGACUCUAAAUUUAAAAAUUUCCUCGGGUCUUCG